rnacentral:rRNA from 1 species
UACGGAGGGUGCAAGCAUUAAUCGGAAUUAUUGGGCGUAAAGGGCGCGUAGGCGGAUGAAUAAGUCAGAUGUGAAAUUCCGGGACUCAAUUUCGGAGCUGCAUUUGAAACUGUACAUCUCGAGGAUUGGCGGAGAGAACGGAAUUCCACGUGUAGCGGUGAAAUGCGUAGAUAUGUGGAAGAACACCGGUGGCGAAAGCGGUUCUCUAGCUUAUACCUGACGCUGAGGCGCGAGAGCAAGGGGAUCAAACAGG